GAUGAACGCUGGCGGCGUGCCUAAUACAUGCAAGUCGAGCGAACAGACGAGGAGCUUGCUCUUCUGACGUUAGCGGCGGAGGGGUGAGUAACACGUGGAUAACCUACCUAUAAGACUGGGAUAACUUCGGGAAACCGGAGCUAAUACCGGAUAAUAUAUUGAACCGCAUGGUUCAAUAGUGAAAGACGGUUUUGCUGUCACUUAUAGCUGGAUCCGCGCCGCAUUAGCUAGUUGGUAAGGUAACGGCUUACCAAGGCAACGAUGCGUAGCCGACCUGAGAGGGUGAUCGGCCACACUGGAACUGAGACACGGUCCAGACUCCUACGGGAGGCAGCAGUAGGGAAUCUUCCGCAAUGGGCGAAAGCUUGACGGAGCAACGCCGCGUGAGUGAUGAAGGUCUUCGGAUCGUAAAACUCUGUUAUUAGGGAAGAACAAAUGUGUAAGUAACUAUGCACGUCUUGACGGUACCUAAUCAGAAAGCCACGGCUAACUACGUG
rnacentral:rRNA from 1 species